CUCUCUUUCACUUCCUUCUCUCUCUCUUAAAACAAGUUGAACCCUUCGUUCAUGCGCCUCCCUCUCCCAAUCUUUUCAUCUUCUUCAUCGUCUUUACUGUCUUAGUAGAUCUCCUGUUAAAUGAUAAAAGUUGUUAAUUGAUGUUCAUAUAUUUGGAUUUAAUGAUAAUUUUUUUUAUUUGUUAUUUGUCUUACUUCUUACUAAAACGGAAAUGAAAGAUUCAGAUCUUGAAUGUUGGUUUAAUUUAUCCAUUAAAAGUUUGAGUUUUGUUUGAUGGUUGUAUUAAUAAUGGUAUUCAAGUACCAGAGUUCCGUUUCUUCUUCCUCUGUAUUAAUCUGCUUAUCUAUGCUUUGAUCUCUCUUCAUAAUUAUUUUUUCUUUAAGAUUUGUCUGUAAUUAGGAAUUGGGCCAUAAAUUACUUGAAAUCUAUAUGAACAUGGUUGUGUUGGGAUUUUUUGAUUUUCUCAAUGGGUUUAAUUUUUUUUUUUUCGUUUUUUGAAUGAACAAAUUACCAGGUAAGGUUUGCUCCAAUCAGCUAGCUUAAGUUGAAAAUGGUACAAGAUAUCAUAUUUUAAUGGACCAAAGUUCAUCAUUUAUUUUUGAAGGAACUAGAUCUGGAAUGAGUAUUCAUCUCAAAAUCAGAGCUAGAAAUACAGAUCAGGAUGAUAUUAGGCUUCAGCAGUAUGAAUCUUGUUUCUAAGCUUCUCCAGUGAUUUCAAAGGACGGUGAUGGGUGGUGCUUCAGCUUUGUCCACGAGUUUUGAUGGGAUUGUAAUUUUUGUUAUAAUUUUAAGAAAUUGAAUUUUAUUUCUGUAAUUUUGUUUUGAUGGAGAUUGUAUUUUAUAUUAUUCCCUUAAAAAAUAAAAAGUAAAAUUGUAAUUUAUUUAUUUAUUUUCCUUGUAAAAAAAUGAUUAUGUAAAUUGAAUUUUAUUAGAUAAUAAAGUUGACUACUUGAUUUACUAUUUUUA